rnacentral:lncRNA from 1 species
GCCAUUUCCUGCCCAAUACCGCGGAUGCAACUGGCAUGGGACCCGGAAGUGUGUGGUAAAGCGCCGGGGCUUCGCCUGGCCGCCCCUCCCGGACGCUUGCCUGCAGUCAGCGAAGCUUUUCCAACCCAGGUCUGGGCCCUGCGAGCUCCAGGUGCCUCUGCCCCGCGGCGCUGGCGAAGUCGAAGCCCGAGAACGCCCACCGCAGCGAUGCGAAGGCCGCUUCUGGGGUGGGGCUGAGGCUGCAGCUGCCUCCCUUUCGCACCAAGGACCCCAACCUUCAGCGACGCAGCCGCCGCUCCCGCCCAGGCUGGGAGGCACUGUAGGGAUCCGACGCUUCAGGUGGCCAAAGAGCGACUUUCUCUGAUUCCAGGGCCCUGGCGGGGCAGGCUCCAGUACCGCACUCGGCGGAGGCCGAAGGUCUGUGGGGCAGGACAGGAGUUCCUCGUGCCGUCGGAAGGGCCGAGGACGAAGGAGGGCGCUAAUUCACUCCCCACUGGGCUGGCGGAACUGCUUCACAAGAUUAAAGGAGAAACAGAAAAUGUAUCUAGCGCUGUGCUUGGGGCAUGGCAGGAACUCAAUGAAUGCUUAUUAAAUACUGUAAAUGAUAAACACA